GACGAACGCUGGCGGCGUGCUUAACACAUGCAAGUCGAACGGAAAGGCCCUGCUUUUGUGGGGUGCUCGAGUGGCGAACGGGUGAGUAACACAUGAGUAACCUGCCCUUGACUUUGGGAUAACUUCAGGAAACUGGGGCUAAUACCGGAUAGGAGCUCCUGCUGCAUGGAGGGGGGUGGAAAGUUUCGGCGUGUGGGGAUGGACUCGCGGCUUAUCAGCUUGUUGGUGGGGUAGUGGCUUACCAAGGCGUUGACGGGUAGCCGGCCUGAGAGGGUGACCGGCCCCAUUGGGACUGCGGUACGGCCCAGAGUCCUACGGGCGGCAGUAGUGGGGAAUAUUGCCCAGUGGGGGCGCGCCUGUUGAAGCAACGCCGCGUGCGGGAUGACGGCCUUCGGGUUGUAAACCGCUUUCGCCUGUGACGAAGCGUGAGUGACGGUAAUGGGUAAAGAAGCACCGGCUAACUACGUG
rnacentral:rRNA from 1 species